UACGGGGGGGGGCAAGCGUUGUCCGGAAUUAUUGGGCGUAAAGAGCUCGUAGGCGGCUUGUCACGUCGGGUGUGAAAGCUCGGGGCUUAACCCCGGGUCUGCAUUCGAUACGGGCUGGCUGGAGUGUGGUAGGGGAGAUCGGAAUUCCUGGUGUAGCGGUGAAAUGCGCAGAUAUCGAGAGGAACACUAAGGGCGAAGGCAAGACUCUGGACAAGUGCUGACGCUCAUGCACGAAGGCUAGGGUAGCGAACGGG
rnacentral:rRNA from 1 species